GGGUUCCUGGCAUGCUGAUUUGUGACUUGAGAUUAAAAUCACAUUGCCAGGGAUUACCAC
rnacentral:pre_miRNA from 2 species